UGGAGGUUACAACAUUUUUACAACCACAUUUGUAAACACCAAGAGGAUGGCUUAGCUCAGCCAUUUCUGCAGUGAAAGUAGAUAAAUCUAUGGGAUUCUCUCCAGAGAGCAUAAAUCCAGUGACCUUCCAAAAAUCAUCUAGCUUCCAGAGGCAUGUACAAAGUCAAGCCUGUAAUUAUGGCUAUGAGAGACAGACCAUGUAAUGAACGACAAAAAUGAGUCAGAAGUGGGAAAGAGCACUGUAACAGUCUCUCAGCUCAUCAUUCAGGCAGCAGGUGUGGUCAUCAACAGGCAAGACUGAAGGCAACAGAUCAAGAACUGCAACCCUUUCUAUAUUCCUCGCUAUAAGGGAAGGAAAAAGGGGCACAAGAGCCAGAAGAGAGAAAAAAGAGGAUGUAUUUUUAGCCCUGUGCAAGACAACAUAGUUGCAGGAAAGGAAAAGCCACCACUCUGCAUAAUCUUUCUGAUGGCUACAGAAGGUGUCAGGAAAGGAGCAAAGCUUGGUCUUUACUAAUUUCUUCCAGCUAGAGACAAGGAAAAUGGCAUACAUCCCAAGCAGUGAUGGGAGAAUCUCUGAAGAAACCUUUAUGAAGUCACGAUGCCAGAUCCCAAACUAGGACGUAAACAGAUGUGUGGAGAUGGCCUCACAUUUAAUGGAUGGGCUGUGUAUGACCUGUCAGGCUUCACGCACCAGCUGUGAGACAUGCAUGCUGAACUCUCAUCUCCUCCUCCUACACGUCAGACAGUGACGGAGUAAUGGGUGCUGUUGCAGCGCAGAUCAGAUCAGCACAAUUCGCUCCAACUCACUCUUGCAGGUUCCCAAAAUUACAAGCCCAGCACUGCCUGGUGCUUUGAGAAAAACUCAGCGAGAAACUGAGUAUGAAGCCAGCUCAUGCUACGGCAGUCUUGCUCACCAAGCAGCAGUGUUAUAAGUACAUUAGCAUUUAGCAAAAUUGUACAAAGCCACGGUCCUGCCUCGAGGAGCUCAUGGCAUCACCAUACAGACAGAGGGACGAGAACAGGAAGCCACAUUAAAAGCAAAAUAAUUAAGCAGACAUGUUUGUUAUGUAUUCUUGCAACCACAUCAAGCCCAGGCAAAGGGAGGAAACUAUCGUGUCCUUGAAUGCGAUCCCCGCUCACACAUCCAGGUCUUGGCAGUCACGCGCAGCUCAGCACAGUUGGGCACAGCUUCCCAGUGCCUUUCCCAGGGCCAGACCUGCACUGGGCUGUGCAGAAUGCAGCAGGGAGGCACUCAGGAGUUUGCUGCAAGCCACACAUGUAAUUAAAUCACAGGCUGGUUCAGCUAGUGAAAGCAGGCACAAGCUAUGUAGAACCUGCU